rnacentral:rRNA from 1 species
GAUGAACGCUGGCGGCGUGCUUAACACAUGCAAGUCGAACGGAAAGGCCCAAGCUUGCUUGGGUACUCGAGUGGCGAACGGGUGAGUAACACGUGGGUGAUCUGCCCUGCACUUCGGGAUAAGCCUGGGAAACUGGGUCUAAUACCGGAUAGGACGAUGGUUUGGAUGCCAUUGUGGAAAGUUUUUUCGGUGUGGGAUGAGCUCGCGGCCUAUCAGCUUGUUGGUGGGGUAAUGGCCUACCAAGGCGUCGACGGGUAGCCGGCCUGGGAGGGUGUACGGCCACAUUGGGACUGAGAUACGGCCCAGACUCCUACGGGAGGCAGCAGUGGGGAAUAUUGCACAAUGGGCGCAAGCCUGAUGCAGCGACGCCGCGUGGGGGAUGACGGCCUUCGGGUUGUAAACUCCUUUCGCUAGGGACGAAGCGUUUUUGUGACGGUACCUGGAGAAGAAGCACCGGCUAACUACGUG